AUUGAACGCUGGCGGCAGGCUUAACACAUGCAAGUCGAGCGAGCGGCGGACGGGUGAGUAAUGUCUGGGAAUCUGCCUGAUGGAGGGGGAUAACUACUGGAAACGGUAGCUAAUACCGCAUACCAUCAGAUGUGCCCCUAUGGGAUUAGCUAGUAGGUGGGGUAAUGGCUCACCUAGGCGACGAUCCCUAGCUGGUCUGAGAGGAUGACCAGCCACACUGGAACGGAGACACGGUCCAGACGCCUACGGGAGGCAGCAGUGGGGAAUAUUGCACAAUGGGCGCAAGCCUGAUGCAGCCAGGCCGCGUGUGUGAAGAAGGCCUUCGGGGUGUAAAGCACUUGCAGCGGGGAGGCGUUACCCGCAGAAGAAGCACCGGCUAACUCCGUGCCAGCAGCCGCGGUAAUUC
rnacentral:rRNA from 1 species